rnacentral:rRNA from 1 species
GACGAACGCUGGCGGCGUGCUUAACACAUGCAAGUCGAACGAUGAAGCCGGAGCUUGCUCUGGUGAAUUAGUGGCGAACGGGUGAGUAACACGUGAGUAACCUGCCCUUGACUCUGGGAUAACUGCUAGAAAUGGUAGCUAAUACCGGAUACGACCCUCGGAGGCAUCUCCAGGGGGUGGAAAGAAUUUCGGUCAAGGAUGGAUGCGCGGCCUAUCAGCUAGUUGGUGAGGUAACGGCUCACCAAGGCGACGACGGGUAGCCGGCCUGAGAGGGUGACCGGCCACACUGGGACUGAGACACGGCCCAGACUCCUACGGGAGGCAGCAGUGGGGAAUAUUGCACAAUGGGCGAAAGCCUGAUGCAGCAACGCCGCGUGAGGGACGACGGCCUUCGGGUUGUAAACCUCUUUUAGCAGGGAAGAAGCGAAAGUGACGGUACCUGCAGAAAAAGCGCCGGCUAACUACGUGCCAGCCGCCGCCGUAA